rnacentral:ncRNA from 1 species
GGGAUAACAGGCUUAUCUCCCCCAAGAGUCCACAUCGACGGGGAGGUUUGGCACCUCGAUGUCGGCUCAUCGCAUCCUGGGGCUGUAGUCGGUCCCAAGGGUUGGGCUGUUCGCCCAUUAAAGCGGUACGCGAGCUGGGUUCAGAACGUCGUGAGACAGUUCGGUCCCUAUCCGUCGUGGGCGCAGGAAAUUUGAGAGGAGCUGUCCUUAGUACGAGAGGACCGGGAUGGACGCACCGCUGGUGUACCAGUUGUCUUGCCAAAGGCAUCGCUGGGUAGCUAUGUGCGGACGGGAUAAGUGCUGAAAGCAUCUAAGCAUGAAGCCCCCCUCAAGAUGAGAUUUCCCAUAGCGUCAAGCUAGUAAGAUCCCUGAAAGAUGAUCAGGUUGAUAGGUCAGAGGUGGAAGCACGGUGACGUGUGGAGCUGACUGAUACUAAUCGAUCGAGGACUUAACCUA